rnacentral:rRNA from 1 species
UACGGAGGGGGCAAGCGUUGUCCGGACUUACUGGGCGUAAAGGGCGCGUAGGCGGCCUGCUAAGUCGAACGUGAAAUCCCUGGGCUCAACCCAGGAACUGCGUCCGAUACUGGUUGGCUUGAAUCCGGGAGAGGGAUGUGGAAUUCCAGGUGUAGCGGUGAAAUGCGUAGAUAUCUGGAGGAACACCGGUGGCGAAGGCGACAUCCUGGACCGGCAUUGACGCUGAGGCGCGAAAGCCAGGGGAGCAAACGGG